rnacentral:rRNA from 1 species
GCGGCGUGGAUAAGACAUGCAAGUCGUACGGGAUUUUUUUCUGUAGCAAUACAGAGAAAAAGUCUAGUGGCGAACGGGUGCGUAACACGCUGAGCAACCUACCGUGAAGUGGGGGAUAGCUCGCCGAAAGGCGAAUUAAUACCGCAUGUGGCCAGGAAGGACAUCCUUCCGACGCCAAAGCCGGGGUAACCUGGCGCUUCUCGAGGGGCUCGCGGCCUAUCAGCUUGUUGGUGAGGUAACGGCUCACCAAGGCUAUGACGGGUAGCUGGUCUGAGAGGACGACCAGCCACACUGGAACUGAGACACGGUCCAGACACCUACGGGUGGCAGCAGUCGAGAAUUUUUCACAAUGGGGGAAACCCUGAUGGAGCGACGCCGCGUGGAGGAUGAAGGUUUUCGGAUUGUAAACUCCUGUCAUUAGAGAACAAGGCACACGGUUUAACUGGCCGUGUGUUGAUAGUAUCUGAAGAGGAAGAGACGGCUAACUCUGUGCCAGCAGCCGCGGUAAUACAGAGGUCUCAAGCGUUGUUCGGAUUCAUUGGGCGUAAAGGGUGCGUAGGUGGCGAUGUAAGUCGGAUGUGAAAUCUCCAAGCUUAACUUGGAAACUGCAUUCGAUACUGCGUUGCUAGAGGAUUGUAGAGGGCAUUGGAAUUCACGGUGUAGCANUGAAAUGCGUAGAUAUCGUGAGGAAGACCAGUGGCGAAGGCGAAUGCCUGGGCAAUUCCUGACACUGAGGCACGAANGCCAGGGGAGCAAACGGGAAUUAGAUACCCCGGUAGUCCUGGCAGUAAAC